CUUUGCCAGCAUCUCUAGGAUAACAGCUUUUAUCAGCGAUGAGCAGCGUGCCCACAGCUGUGUGCAAGGGCUCAGCUGCCAGCCGCUGAUAAGAGCAGCGCUGAAUGCUGUGUCUGCCCCCAUCACCCCCUGCAAGCUGUUAUGUGACUCCAGCCCCUCUGAGGGUUGGGGGGCUUCAGGACCCAUGUAGCACCCUCUUCCCCUCUGCAAAGGCCAGGGCGAAACAUGACCACUAAUGAAUGGGGCACAGCGGUACCAGGCCACAGGACUUGAAGAAGCUAAUUUGGAACUGCAAGAGGAAGUUAAGGAGGUGAAAUGUGCAGCCUUAACUGCCUUGGGACCUGCCUUUCUCCCUGUAUCAUAAGCGACCUGUUGAAUCAAAAGGGAAGGGGGCUUGCUGGAGCCUCUCUGAGGUGCGGAUACUCCACCACCCAAGCUUGGAGUCUUGACUUUCCAGCUCCCGGUGAAGGACAGUUUGCACAGUUAUCUGCAGUGGCUUCUCCUCAAUCUUUGCACGGAGUCCCUGGCCGGGGUGCUGCCGGGUGUGGGCUGAGCCUCGCUACCGGCUCCCAUCUGGCCCUUUGGUUUAACAGCUUUUUCCCUCAAGGUGAGAACCAAGGUUUGCUUGAAGUGGGGGUGGGGCACGGGAAGGUCUCUCUCCUUCCCUCAACCCCCCCUUUCCUGGAUGACUGGGAACCCCAAUCCCCUCUGCACCCCGAGAAACCAAUCUGAAAGCCUGAGCCCACCUUUGGGGCAGCAGCGUGGCCUGAGCACAGGUGAGGGAGUUUGACUUCGGAUCCAAGCUCCACCACUGAUGUGCUUGGCCCAGAUCCGCAGAGGUGUUGCAGCACCUAAAUCCUACUGGUUUCAAUGGGAGUUAAGUGCCUGGAAGCCUUUGGGGGUCUGAGACUUGGCUCCCAAGUGCCCUCUCGUGGUGGAUGCUUCUGUCUG
rnacentral:lncRNA from 1 species